rnacentral:rRNA from 1 species
GGACGGGUGAGUAACGCGUGGGAAUCUACCUAGUAGUGGAGGAUAACUCGGGGAAACUCGAGCUAAUACUGCAUACGCCCUACGGGGGAAAGCGGGGGAUCUUCGGACCUCGCGCUAUUGGAUGAGCCCGCGUUAGAUUAGCUUGUUGGUGAGGUAAUGGCUCACCAAGGCGACGAUCUAUAGCUGGUCUGAGAGGAUGAUCAGCCACAUUGGGACUGAGACACGGCCCAAACUCCUACGGGAGGCAGCAGUGGGGAAUAUUGCGCAAUGGGCGAAAGCCUGACGCAGCCAUGCCGCGUGUGUGAAGAAGGCCUUCGGGUUGUAAAGCACUUUCAAUAGGGAGGAAAGGUUGUAACUUAAUACGUUGCAACUGUGACGUUACCUAUAGAAGAAGGACCGGCUAACUCCGUGCCAGCAGCCGCGGUAAUACGGAGGGUCCGAGCGUUAAUCGGAAUUACUGGGCGUAAAGCGCGCGUAGGCGGCUUCGUCAGUCAGAUGUGAAAGCCCCGGGCUCAACCUGGGAACUGCAUUUGAUACUGCGGAGCUAGAGUAUGGUAGAGGAUAGUGGAAUUCCAGGUGUAGCGGUGAAAUGCGUAGAUAUCUGGAGGAACAUCAGUGGCGAAGGCGACUGUCUGGACCAAUAC